UUAAAAAAAAAAUGAAAAUAAAAUAAAGGCAAGCAUUAUGACCGAAAAAGCGCGAAGAAUGGCAUCCACUUCUGGAGAAUCAAGAAGGAGAGAGAACGUUGAUAGAGGAUCUGACCGACUAGCUCUCAUCACCUGUCAGAUCCAUGCCCUCCCACCCGGUUAUCCAUCUCAACCGUUGAAUUCCCUGAACCCACCUCUUCAUCUCUCCAAUAAAAUAACCGGCAGAUGAUGGCGCAGCCCAAUUUCUGAGCGGCCCAAACAAGUCAUUGGGCACCUUUCCUCUUCUGAAAGAGGAGAGGUGGUGUGGCUAAAAGAAAAUGUCUUUACCAUGUAAAGUUAGCAUGGCUUGCAUGUUUUUGUUAGCAUUUCCGUUUGUUGAGGGGUGGAGGUAUUCGAGGCGAUCUAUGGCUUGGAUGGUUUUGAUGGCAUUUUCGUUUGCUGAGGGGUGGAGGUAUUUGAGGCAAUCUAGCAUAUUCUGCUGAUGGAAAAGAUGAUCAUGAGCCGACCACCAUUGCUGCUGGACAUGGUGGGAGCACUGUUAAACCAUCUUCACGCGAAUUUGACACAGUUGCGGAAGCAUCAAUAGCUUCUUCUGCGGAAACAAGCAGUAAAGUAGAAUCAUCUUUGGCCAAACCAUCUAGGUCUACUUCAGGAACAGAGCAAAACUUAAAAAACCACAACGAUGGAUAAGUAGUUCUGUGACUCCAUAUCAAAUAACCUCUGCCAAUGCAGCAUCAGAGAAAUAAUGCUAAUGUUAUCCGGCUCAAUGCCCACAAUUUGCAUUUGAGCACGAGUACCCCGGAUAUCGUUGCUGUCCAAGAUACUGUAGAGUCCUAUAAGGAAUUGAAUCAAACGAAGCUCUCGCCUUUCUCAUAUGACCCAAUCUAGAAUUCCCGGAAAA